AUCUGAAUGAAUAUAGGUGCUUGAAUGAAUGAAUCUCUACUACUUUGGGCCUACCAGCUUUGAAUCACAUACUCAUUCACCCUUCUCUUACACACAGUAGAGAUCAGGAGUCCAAAUGUGCUUUCUCUUAACCAUUUACGCCAGGUCUCUCAAGUGCCAGUAAGUCUUUCUGGGGACACAGUGACCUUCACAGAGGGUUCCAACAGCAGGCACAGCACAGCUCUACACAAGGAGAAGGAAGUCGCACUCCUCGGAUCUGUGCAGGUACAGGGAGUGGAAGAAGCACUGUGGGACUCUCACUGCAAGAAGACAGACCAUUACCAUCCUAUUCUGCCCCUCUCUCCCCCGACUCCAUGUCCCUUGCUGAGUCCAGGGUCCACCUUCCAAGCUGGCUGGUAGAGCAAUCAGUUUUCCUCGGGACAGGGGCACAUCACCAAACAGGCCUCUGUCCAGGGCUUUCCUGUCACCAAAGCCACACGAAUGCAAAUCUAUUUUUCAUUAGGAGAAAAUAAAACUCACAAGUGACAUCAACUGAAAAAUGUUCUUUGGGAGAAAGUUAUUUCCAUUUAAAGCUAAGCACAUGACAGCUGGUGACUUUUAAUGGAAAGUAAAAUCUGCUGGACUGAAUUACUAUCAAACCACUUGAGAAUUUGUGUUUUUAAUUUUCCUUUUGGAGAAAGCCAGUGCUUUGGACUCCAGCCGAACAGAUGAGGAAUGGAAAGGUCUUGUCUUGUCUCUAACUGUGGCCUGAAAAGACCCUGGACAGUCCUCAGUAAAAUCAUAGUCCAGUAUCCAGGUGCAUUCAUCUCCAUUACCCUCUCCUUGACGUUCAUGUAAUAAGCUGGGUAGAACUUCUCUGUCUUAUUUGUUUGGAGGCCAUCCCCAAACAGUUGUAUGUAUUAAAACUUAAUAGAGAAUAGCAGGUGUGAAAGAACUCAGUAUUUGCUAUGGACUAAAGCCCCCCCCAUUCAAAUGCUGAAGCCUCCCAAAGGUGAGGCCUCGGGAAGUGUCUGGGUUUAGACGAACAGAACAGAAUCUGCUGGUGUCUCGACUGUGAGAAAUGCAUAUUUGUUGUCUAAGCCGCCCAGUCUGUGGCAUUUUGUUAUAGCAGCCUGCACUGAUUGAGACAGUACUCCAGUAGGCCACAAGGUCCUCUCCCACUAUAAGGUCCAAGGCAUGAGAGUUCCAUGCAUUUGAGACACCCUUAAGGACCAGCGUGGGGCUACCUUUUCUAUCUAGGCUAGUAUGAUUCAGUUCCUCUUUCCUUCCAGAGUUUUCUAGCACUCCUAGGAUCUGUAGCAUAUUUGUGGUUUGUGUAGGCAAUAGAGAGCACCUCCGGAGUUUGGGGAUAGGGCAGAAGGGUGUCCAGCUUUGAAGGGAGAGGCUAUAAGAACCCUCACAGUGCCAUGAGAAUAACCAGCUGCAGAUGCAACCUAUGUUUGGGGAGGCAUUGCACACACAGUGCUGGGAAUUUCAUCGUUUACUCUAUCAGGAUUAGGUGACCCGAAGUAUACUGUAGGCUUAAAUUACAAAGUGGUGACAAUGUAAAUUGCAUGAGCUGUGUUAUUGGAUGAGAGUUAAAGUGGUAGGCAUGGAAGAUCCUGUGUAGAGGUUAGAAAAAGAGAGGUGAAGAGUGAGAAUCUGGCUGGUGUUUAUGCAGGGCUCUCAAGGGAACUGUGGGCUGCAGACCCCAUUACCAGGCAAGACACACACCCUUCAAUACUCGUUCUCUAAUUCCUGCUCACCAAGUAAUUUUCUAAUGCUAAUUCAGUUUCUCUAGUAGACAGCACAAAAGGGUACCUUGGAUACUAACUAGAAAAUGUGUCCUUCAUUGUACAUUAGUUCAACUGGCACUUUGGUUUUCCUAACAGUCUACUGUGAAUCUGAUUGGCAAGAGACCAUUCCUUGGGGCCUAGUCAACCUUGUAUGGACUGACUACUGCAUAGGGUUUCUGAAGUUUGAAAGUUAAAAGACAGAGCUGAGCCAGGUACAGUGGUGCAGGCCGGUCACCCCAGCUACUUGGGAGGCUGAGGCAGGAGGAUCACAAGUUUGAGGGCAGCUGGGAAAAAUGAGACUCUGUCUCAGAAUGAAAAAGGGUUGGAGAUGUGGCUCCAUGGGAGAACACUUACCUAGCAUGAGUCCCCAGGGCCAUGAAGAGAAUAAAUAAAUUACUAAAUAAAGCCAGACAUGACUCCAGGCCUGUACCAAGUCUCAGAUGCCCUUUGGGGUUCAGCUUGGGUUGGUAGUGGGCCAACCAGGGAUACAAUACAAGUGGUGAGAAGUACAAGUAUAAUUUAUUUAUCUUCUUUGGAAUUCAACUAUAAAAAGUUAAAACAGAAGUUAAAAUAUACUGUUGUUUGACCUUUGAUUUCUGUCCCAUCCCAUCUUACAUUUUUAGAGACAAGUGAGAAAUUCCAUUUGCUA
ensembl:lincRNA